GACGAACGCUGGCGGCGUGCUUAACACAUGCAAGUCGAACGGAAAGGCCCUGCUUUUGUGGGGUGCUCGAGUGGCGAACGGGUGAGUAACACGUGAGUAACCUGCCCUUGACUUUGGGAUAACUUCAGGAAACUGGGGCUAAUACCGGAUAGGAGCUCCUGCUGCAUGGUGGGGGUUGGAAAUUUUCGGCGGUUGGGGAUGGACUCGCGGCUUAUCAGCUUGUUGGUGGGGUAGUGGCUUACCCAGGCUUUGACGGGUAGCCGGCCUGAGAGGGUGACCGGCCACAUUGGGACUGAGAUACGGCCCAGACGCCUACGGGAGGCAGCAGUGGGGAAUAUUGCACAAUGGGCGGAAGCCUGAUGCAGCAACGCCGCGGGCGGGAUGACGGCCGUCGGGUUGUAAACCGCUUUCGCCUGUGACGAAGCGUGAGUGACGGUAAUGGGUAAAGAAGCACCGGCUAGCUACGUG
rnacentral:rRNA from 1 species